rnacentral:misc_RNA from 1 species
UUUCCGUAGGUGAACCUGCGGAAGGAUCAUUAAUGAGGGCGUGUGGGCUAAUAUCCCCGCGAACCCUAAUCCUUUGUUUACUACCCCGUAGUGGUUUUUUCUUGGGCCCGGUAUGGAUUUUUUUUUUAAAAAAAAAGAAUCUUUGUGAUGUCGCCUAAAAUGGUUGCCACAGCGCCCCCCAAAAAAACAAAACCAGAUCAAAAAAAAUUCUAAUUCAUUAUUGAUGUCUGAAGCAAAAUUUAAACAAGCAAAACUUUCAACAACGGAUCUCUUGGUUCCGGCAUCGAUGAAGAACGCAGCGAAAUGCGAUAAGUAAUGUGGACCGCAGUACUCAGCGACUCAUCGAAUCUUUGAACGCACAUUGCGCCCCUUGGUAUCACCAAAGGGCACACCUGUCCGAGCGUCAUCAUACAUCGUAUCAGGCCAAGGGCCCGGCUUGCAUUGGGCUUUGUCUACUUUAUGUAGAAGUCUAAAAGUUAGUGGCGGUUAAGUUAGGCAUUCCAGCGUAGUAGUUAUAUUAGCUGUUGAAAUGUCUUUCACUUAAUAGUCAACACACCUCCAUGGUUUCUGCUGGCAGAGAUCUGGUUAGAUUUUAUCAAUUAUUGACCUCGGAUCAGGUGAGGAUACCCGCUGAAU